CGUUGAUGUGAUGAUAUUUUUGACGGAAAUGUACAUGUCGACAUAAACACUCAGACUACAAUUAUCUGAUCUCUG
rnacentral:snoRNA from 1 species